GAUGAACGCUGGCGGCGUGCCUAAUACAUGCAAGUCGAGCGAACAGAUGAGGAGCUUGCUCCUCUGACGUUAGCGGCGGACGGGUGAGUAACACGUGGAUAACCUACCUAUAAGACUGGGAUAACUUCGGGAAACCGGAGCUAAUACCGGAUAAUAUAUUGAACCGCAUGGUUCAAUAGUGAAAGACGGUUUUGCUGUCACUUAUAGAUGGAUCCGCGCCGCAUUAGCUAGGUGGUAAGGUAACGGCUUACCAAGGCAACGAUGCGUAGCCGACCUGAGAGGGGGGUGGGCCACACUGGAGGGGAGCGCCGGCCCAGCGUACUACGGGGGGCAGCAGUAGGGAGGCUUCCGGAAUGAGGGAAGGCCUGACGGAGCACCGUCGCGUGAGUAGUGAUGGUCUUCGGAUCGUAAAACUCUGUUAUUGGGGAAGAACAAAUGCGUAAGUAACUAUGCACGUCUUAACGUAGCCUAAUCAGAAAGCCACGGCUAACUACGUG
rnacentral:rRNA from 1 species